rfam:Agromyces sp. Soil535 contig_10, whole genome shotgun sequence.
UCUAGUCCUCGGGCCCCGACUCCCAGCCGGCCGCGCCUGGUGCACUUCCCCGCAUCAGGACGAACGGAUGGGGAUCGGGACCCGAGGCCCCGAAGAC